rnacentral:rRNA from 1 species
GAUGAACGCUGGCGGCGUGCCUAAUACAUGCAAGUCGAGCGAACAGACGAGGAGCUUGCUCCUCUGACGUUAGCGGCGGACGGGUGAGUAACACGUGGAUAACCUACCUAUAAGACUGGGAUAACUUCGGGAAACCGGAGCUAAUACCGGAUAAUAUAUUGAACCGCAUGGUUCAAUAGUGAAAGACGGUUUUGCUGUCACUUAUAGAUGGAUCCGCGCCGCAUUAGCUAGUUGGUAAGGUAACGGCUUACCAAGGCAACGAUGCGUAGCCGACCUGAGAGGGUGAUCGGCCACACUGGAACUGAGACACGGUCCAGACUCUUACGGGAGGCAGCAGUAGGGAAUCUUCCGCAAUGGGCGAAGGCUUGACGGAGCAACGCCGCGUGAGUGAUGAAGGUCUUCGGAUCGUAAAACUCUGUUAUUAGGGAAGAACAAAUGUGUAAGUAACUAUGCACGUCUUGACGGUACCUAAUCAGAAAGCCACGGCUAGCUACGUG